GAUGAACGCUGGCGGCGUGCCUAAUACAUGCAAGUCGAGCGAACAGACGAGGAGCUUGCUCCUCUGACGUUAGCGGCGGACGGGUGAGUAACACGUGGAUAACCUACCUAUAAGACUGGGAUAACUUCGGGAAACCGGGGCUAAUACCGGAUAAUAUAUUGAACCGCAUGGUUCGAUAGUGAAAGACGGUUUUGCUGUCACUUAUAGAUGGAUCCGCGCCGCAUUAGCUAGUUGGUAAGGUAACGGCUUACCAAGGCGACGAUGCGUAGCCGACCUGAGAGGGUGAUCGGCCACACUGGAACUGAGACACGGUCCAGACUCCUACGGGAGGCAGCAGUAGGGAAUCUUCCGCAAUGGGCGAAAGCCUGACGGAGCAACGCCGCGUGAGUGAUGAAGGUCUUCGGAUCGUAAAACUCUGUUAUUAGGGAAGAACAAAUGUGUAAGUAACUAUGCACGCCUUGACGGUACCUAAUCAGAAAGCCACGGCUAACUACGUG
rnacentral:rRNA from 1 species